CGGGAACCCGGGCUUAAUCCGGGAUUUUCCUUGAACCCCAGGUUCAAAGGUAAAGACGGUUUCGGCUUCCAUUCCAGAAGGACCCGGGGCCAUUAGCUAGUUGGUGGGUUAUGGCUCACCAAGGGGACGAUGGUUAGCCGACCUGGAAGGGGGAUCGGCCCACCUGGGACUGGACACGGGCCCAGAUUCCUACGGGAGGCAGCAGUAGGGAUUUUCCGCAAUGGACGAAAGUCUGACGGAGCAACGCCGCUUGAGUGAUGAAGGUUUUCGGAUCGUAAAGCUCUGUUGUUAGGGAAGAACAAGUGCGAGAGUAACUGCUCGCACCUUGACGGUACCUAACCAGAAAGCCACGGCUAACUACGUGCCAGCAGCCGCGGUAAUACGUAGGUGGCAAGCGUUGUCCGGAAUUAUUGGGCGUAAAGGGCUCGCAGGCGGUUUCUUAAGUCUGAUGUGAAAGCCCCCGGCUCAACCGGGGAGGGUCAUUGGAAACUGGGAAACUUGAGUGCAGAAGAGGAGAGUGGAAUUCCACGUGUAGCGGUGAAAUGCGUAGAGAUGUGGAGGAACACCAGUGGCGAAGGCGACUCUCUGGUCUGUAACUGACGCUGAGGAGCGAAAGCGUGGGGAGCGAACAGGAUUAGAUACCCUGGUAGUCCACGCCGUAAACGAUGAGUGCUAAGUGUUAGGGGGUUUCCGCCCCUUAGUGCUGCAGCUAACGCAUUAAGCACUCCGCCUGGGGAGUACGGUCGCAAGACUGAAACUCAAAGGAAUUGACGGGGGCCCGCACAAGCGGUGGAGCAUGUGGUUUAAUUCGAAGCAACGCGAAGAACCUUACCAGGUCUUGACAUCCUCUGACAACCCUAGAGAUAGGGCUUUCCCUUCGGGGACAGAGUGACAGGUGGUGCAUGGUUGUCGUCAGCUCGUGUCGUGAGAUGUUGGGUUAAGUCCCGCAACGAGCGCAACCCUUGAUCUUAGUUGCCAGCAUUUAGUUGGGCACUCUAAGGUGACUGCCGGUGACAAACCGGAGGAAGGUGGGGAUGACGUCAAAUCAUCAUGCCCCUUAUGACCUGGGCUACACACGUGCUACAAUGGACAGAACAAAGGGCUGCGAGACCGCAAGGUUUAGCCAAUCCCAUAAAUCUGUUCUCAGUUCGGAUCGCAGUCUGCAACUCGACUGCGUGAAGCUGGAAUCGCUAGUAAUCGCGGAUCAGCAUGCCGCGGUGAAUACGUUCCCGGGCCUUGUACACACCGCCCGUCACACCACGAGAGUUUGCAACACCCGAAGUCGGUGAGGUAACCUUU
rnacentral:rRNA from 1 species